AAUAAUUUAUCGCUGAAUUAUGGCAGUUUGACUGCUAUAAGCGGGGGAACCAUUCAAAUGGGGUGAAUCCUGUGUUAUCAGGUAGGGUUAGUCUCUUACAACCCGAAUCCGGCAGCUAACUUCGUAAGCGUUGGGGAGAAAGUGA
rnacentral:sRNA from 17 species